CGGCUCCCCCUCCUGUCAUUGUCCUCACGCAUGUCGCAGUUCCGAUGUGGUGUAGCAAGCCUGUUGCUCUGUUUUCUUUUCCCCUAAAGAUGACAAAGGCACAAUCAUGGGCUUGGUAUGUGGCGACAGGUAAGGAAUGCUGAAUAUGUAUGUUUUUUUCCUUGGCUAACCUGCAUCUGCAUAUGUAUGUUUUCAGAACAUAAUACCAGUAUAUAAUACAGAGCUGUGGUAGCUUUUCUUCCUUCAUUCACAGGUUGCGAGAAAAGAAAACUCAUCCUGAUUCCCCACAUCUCAGCAUAUCCCUUACUCUGGCUGUUUACUUUCUUCUGAUUCAACCUUUUUCCAAGGUUAGCCACACCUUUGCCCUUUUGCACCAUGCAGCAGCAGCUUUUGUUGGUUAAAAAAAAAAAGAACUGAACUCCUUAAAAUGUUCUAAUAAUGAAAGGAGCUCUCAUUUUUGUACUACAAGUGCUGUUGAGCUCUUUUAGUUAAAUGAUGAUGAGCUGCUGUUUCAUAAAAGUGGAAUGGAAUCUAGUAGCCGCCUUGCAUUUCUUCAGGUAUUGCAGGUACUCCUAGUCCGCUACACAUGUUCAUGCUAUUGCAUUCUUUAACUUUUUUUUUUUUAAAAAAAAAAACAACAACAACUGGGAGUGAUUGAGUAAGCUGUAGCUCUGUGCAUGUCACACUGUGCACAAUUCUCCAAAAAAUCAUGCUAAACAACUGGGAGUGAUUGAGUGAGCUGUAGCUCUGUGGAUGUUGAUGUUGAAACAUCACCCUGCACAAUUCUACUACGAAGAUCAUUGGGUACUUGUACCAAAGUACUCCUCUUCUCUUCACUCUUCUAUAGCAGAAUAUUUCUGGGCAGCUCCUCUUCUCUUGUUUCUUUUCUAGCUGUUCUCUUGUUUCUUUUGCUGCAAGUGGAGGCGCUAGAGAUCAAAUUAGAGAAGCACUGCUGUCAUGUGUGCUUUGGUAGGUUAGAUGCAGAGUGGUGGGUAGAUCUGUGGAGUGAAGGAGCCGAGGAAUCUGUCUCUGUCAAUCUCAUACAAUCAUAUACUCUCAUCCAACCCACCAAGGUGGUCAACAGAAGUCAAGACCAUGGACGCAUGCAUCUGUUGCUGUCAGACACUCUAUGAGACCAUAACCAGACCAUGGUCAAUUCAUGUCAACCCAGUCGACAUGCAGGUGUGAAAAGCAGUGAUUCCUAGUACUGCUACAUAACUGAAUUUCGCGAGAAACAGUAUAGGACUUUGCAGCAAAGAAUGCAGAUUCUGCACAUUGCAACAAAUGCAAAGAACACAAGAGAUUUUUGGACAAGAGAGACGCGCGCAGACUGAUUUUGUGAGAUCCUGACGGUGACGAUGAAAAUUCAACAAAAUUCCAACUGAAUUAUCAGACAAACUGAACAAGCACAAGCAGUGAGUACAUCAACGGCAGCUAACUCCUCUAAUAAAUCCACCUCUCCGUCUCUCUGUGCAGCAGCAGCUCUACCCUGCUCGUCGGCGUCGAGGAUGAGUCAAGACGCCGUCGGGCUGGGCGCCUCUGGGGCGGCCGGCGGCGCAUCAGGCGAGGACGGCAACGCAGGUGGCGUUGGAGGCGGCGGCAGCAGGUCUGGCGGUGGCGACGCGAGUGCGGGCGGGGGCGACGCGAUCUCCGCCGGUGGCGGCGUCGGUGACGGGAAUGCCGGCGGGGGCGGCACGACUGGUGCCGGCGGGGGCAGCUGCUGCUGAGGAGGUGGGAGCACGGGCACCGGCACCGGCGACGGCGGGGGUUGUAGAGGGGUCUCGGGCACAGGCGUUGGCUGCGAGGGCGGCGGCGGCGGCGGCGGCCAGGUGGCGGCGUCCGGGGAAGGAAAGGUGGGAUUUUGAGCGGGCGUGGGCGGUGGGCGGGCGGCCGUGGCGGGUUGCUGGACGGUAGGGUCGGUGUCGGGCAGGACGGGCUGGCACGCGUCGGCGGCGGCGCACGCGGAUGAGGCGGAGUUUGAGCUGGACUUGGCGGCGGCGCGGUGGAGGACGGCGCGGAAGGCGAGGACGACGCCGACGACGGCGAGGGCGGCGAGGAGGGCGAGGAAGAUCUUGGUGGCCUUGCCGACGUAGCAGCCGCCCCGCAUGGCCGCUGCCGCUCAGCCGUCCAACUCGUCCUGCUUGGUGGUAGUUGACUGGGGGUGGUGGCUGCCGGCCGAGUGCUCUCACUCUCAGCAGUGCAGUGGUCCGGUGGAGUUUACUCGUGACGUCGCACAACACAAGACCGGUUCGGCUGGUGGGGAUCAACUAUUCAACUGUGCGGUCCAGAUUGGAAUUGGAAAAUCACACACACCUUACUUCCACCCAAAAACUCAAUUUUUUUAAAAAAAUUUCGAAUCUUUAGACGCAUGCAUAUAGUAUUAAAUAUAGAUAAAAAAACUAACUGUACAGUUUGAUCGAAAUUGACGAGACGAAUCUUUUAAGCUUAGUUAGUCUAUGGUUAAAUAAUAAUUACCACAAACAAACGAGACCGGUCCGUAGAGUGGCACACCUCCUUGGAGAGAGGCACCGCAGUAAAUGAAGCACUCAAAAAAAGAGGCGAAAUAAAUGAUUACCAUAGUAGUACUCCGCCACAUGGUACAGCGCUUCCCCUGAACUUUGGUUGUUUUGUUGGUAUAAAUUUUGUGCACAUAGCGAGUGAUGGAUGCAAAUCAUGCGAGAUUUGACCAUAGGCAACAAAGUUAUGACACUCCCUACUUAAGUUGCUGUCUUCUGGUGGCGUGGCAGUGCUGUUAUUUCUUUCAAUAUAAAAUCCAUUUUCUGUAGAGCAAAUUGGUGUACAAUGCACUACUAGAAAGGAGUGAUGCAAGAUCUGAUCAUAGGCAACAAAGUCAUUAAUAAUCAACUACAGCUUAAGGCCCAUUGGGCGCUUCAGAAACUGACCACAAACGUAACACGGACUAAUAUGAGCGAGCCCAGUAAUAAAACCCAAUAUAAGAAAACAUUACAGCCCAGCCCAAAUUUCCUAGAUGCAAUGCAGGCAAACCUCAUCCGAACGGAAGGGUGUCGAAACGGCCGGCAGCCGCUUUCUUCCUUUUUUUUUUUCCCCUCCUUUUUCUGAUCUGAUGAAUCUGAUGAUGCCGUCGCCCGUCGCCCGCUCUAUCCACACUCCCUCCCUAGUCCCUCACUCACUCCCCCCAGACCCAGAGUCGUCCGUCCACAUGGCGACUUAUCUCAACGCACCGCCGGCAGCUACCACCAUGGCUGCAAGCUACUGCCAUGCCUUCUCCGGCGGCAGCCUCCGUCUGCUCCGGCCGAGCCGACCCACGCUGCACGUGACGUGCCAAGCCUCCUCGUCCUCCUCCCAGCAGCAGCCGUCCCCGUCCAGGAGGUCAGCCUGCCUCGGCCUCGGCCUCAGCUUCGCGUGCGCCGUCCUGCUCCGCCCACGCGCCGUCGCCGCCGCAACCGACGGCGGCGACGAGGAGCCGGCCAACAACGGCUGGUGGCUCACCGAGUUCCCCUUGCCAACGCCCAAGAUCGUCAACAGUAAGCCGUCCUAGCUGCUUCUCACCUGCAGACCGACGAUUGUUCAUUCAGUAAUAAACACAGUACUGACCAGCUUCAUGAAAAAUGGAAUUGGCAAAGCAGAGGAGAUCAACAACGCCGAGACAGGGACGCGGUCCUUCAUCAAGAACGGCAUCUACAUGGCGGACAUCGGCCCCAGCUUCGCGGCGCACGCGUACCGGCUGCGCAGCACGGCCUUCGACCUGCUGGCGCUGGAGGACCUGCUCGGCAAGGACGCCUCCAACUACGUCAACAAGUACCUCCGACUCAAGUCCACCUUCAUGUACUACGACUUCGACAAGCUCAUCUCCGCCGCCGACGACAAGCCCACCUUCGUCGACCUCGCCAACCGCCUCUUCGACAGCUUCGAGACGCUCCAGGAGGCCGUCACCGCCAAGGACGACGACAGGAUAAGC
rnacentral:lncRNA from 1 species